rnacentral:lncRNA from 1 species
AAAGAAGUGUCCCAAAACCGCACACACAUAUAAACAAGACAUGGGACAACAAAGAUGCAAUACUCACACUCACAAAGAAUCAUCUCAUGUACACAAAUGUCACACCAUUCAUUGGCUUGCCAUACUUUCAAUCAUUAUUGACUCAACUCCAUUUGGUUAGAAAUCUCAAAGGACUUUGGUAAGCUUGUAAUAUAGGCUUAGGAAAGGUUAGGAUAUCAUUUAGGUAUAAGUGAUUACACCCUCCUUGAACACUACACAACAACUCAUCAUUUCCAACUUUCUCCACUCUUCUUCACUUUUCAAACUCAUGCACAUUCCACACUAUUUUUCAUUAUUCUUUUCUUAUUUCUACUCUAGAAUCCCCCACGUACAACCAUUUUCAACUUUUGGAGGAUUCAAGUCUCAUUUAUUCAUUUUCUUUCUUUAAGACUUUUCAUCCAACCCUCAAUUUCUCUCUUCUUUUUUUAUCUUCUUUUUUAUUCUAUCAAGCGGAUGUGGUAAGCAUCACUUGAAUGAAUUUCCCAUAACACCACCAACUUAGGUUUUUAGCCUCGAUUUUUUUCACAACCUCAAGUUCAAGGAGGGAAGGGUUCAAAAGUGGGUUACUUUUUUCAAAAAGGAUAAGACUUGUAAUGUGGUUGCCAAUAAAAAAGAUUAAGCUCAAAGGGGACAACUAAGGAUAUAUUUAGUGCAAAGGUGGGAUUUUUAGGCCAAGUGGACUUCAAGAACAUCAAAGAAAGCCUAAGAUCAUUUCUUCAACAAAACUCAAUCAAGACCAACAUUUCAAAACCAGCCGGGGAAGUUCUAGGUGACAAAAGCGAACACAAGGCAUUAAUUAUUCAAUAACUCAUCACACAUGGCCUGCAAAUCAAUCAAAAUGGUUCAAAAUCUUACUUCCUUUUCAAAAUACAAGUAGCAUUGACAUUUUAACCGCUAACGAAUCAGAAGUCGCAAAAAGAGUUAUAAGAGUUGUCACAAAUCAUUCAUAACAUGCUCAAGCUUUUUAAAAAGGAGAGGUAUGCUCAUGAUUCACAUGCAUGACUAUGCUCUUAGUACCAACCAAGUCAAAACAUUCCCAAAAUGAUGAUGAUUUUGCCUUUAAGAAAGCCGUCAACCAAUCCAUCAACAGGCAACCUCAUGCAUCUAUUUGGGAACGGCUACUCAAACUUCGACACAAUCAAUGCCAAUCAAACAUUCACAAGCAAACGAUGAUUUAACCUUAAGAAGGACGUCACUCUCUAUCCAUCAUCGGGCAUCGUUAAUCCAAAUCUUAUUAUAAAAAAAAUAACAAAGAAGCUACAAACUACAAAUCAACAGGGAAAAGAUUGAGAAGGCAAAAAUCAUUACGAAGUAGUUUGAUAGAAAAAAUGAUCUUGGAAAAUUGUAAUUGAGCAUAAGAUGAAACUAACCAAUACUUACUAUAAUGUGGAAGUACUCGGUAUCCUUAGGAACAUGCUUAAAGAGUGCUAAGGAACCGAUCAGAAAACUCAGCAUCGUUCUUGCACCCAUUGCCUGCAAAUUAAUCAACAUUUAAACAGUAAGAUUCAAGGAAGAGCUCCACGGUGGAAGGAUACAGACAACCAUAGAGCCUUAGUUCAUAUCUCCAAAAAAAAUCACUUGUUUGAAUACCUGAGAGAAGUUCAAGACCUUCAUUAGUAACUUCACUUUAUCAAAAUAAAUUAACAAAGCAAUAUUUUCUUAAAAACUAAAAAUUCCAUAUAUAGUUCUAUGGAGACUAUGCAACUUUGUUUCUCUUUUUUUGGAAUUACCCUUUGAUUGCAUUCAUUUAUCUUUUCCACUAAUCCUUCGGUGUUUCUGCAUUUUUCUAUUAUGCUUCUCAAUCAAGCUAACAUCUCCAUUAUUUUUCUUAGUUCAGAUAUAAUCUAAGUUGUCACAUUGAGGAAAGCAUCUUUUUGUGGAAGUAAAGCAUGAAUUGAUUUUAUAUGAUUAACAGUCACUGUAAGCAACGGUUGACUUAAUGUUAACAAUAAGUAAUAAUGCAACUGUUGAGAAUUUAGACUUGGCAAAGUUUCCAUAUGAAUAAAUGUCAUGCACCCUGCUUAGGUGCAGUACAUACCUCACAUUGCAGCUCACACUGCACCUUAGAUAGUACAACUUCAGUUACAGAUAAUAUAUCACUCAAAUGCCAACAGAGAAAUAUUACUUCAUUGACAUCUUUAAUCAUCAAACUAAUGUGUGAUUAUAACAUUAGAAAAAGUUAAAAUUACAAGACAUCCAAAAUCAUCAAACUAAUGUGUGAUUAGUAAAAUGGAAAGAAGAACUACAGGAAAAAAUCACUGGAAGAAGCAUUCUAACAGUACAAAAAUAUUCUCUUAUUUCAAAGAAAUAAUCCACCACCCUCGCAACCACCUCCUAUAACAGAGAACAGAAACAAGACAGGGAAUAUAAUACAAAUAACUAAAGACUCAAAAAAGUAGAAUCAGAAGAAUGUCAGAUGAUCAGGUCAAGACCAAUUGCUCAACGUACUAUCUUUGCACAAAGACCAAAUUUUCUACGUGUCUAUUUCAAUGCAUAAGUUACAAUAAUCAAAAGUUUCCACUUGGAUCUACGACAAUCUUAGGAAAAUAUACCCUAAUAACUAACAAAACAAGAGGAGCCAGUCUAAAAUACCUUUGUUCCUCCUAAUUGAAGGUCAAGAAAAAAUGAAAGAAGUUGGAGCUUAACUUUUAAAGCGGGAACAUGCAAAAGUUCCCACUAAACACAUUAAAUGUAAAGGAAAACAACAGUAUUAUGUGACGUGCAUACCAAAACACGCAAUAAUAGAUGAAAGAAGCUCAAUAGUAGAAAGACUAGAAAGAUAUUAGAUAGAUGAACUUCUUUAUUAGGGAACUGAUGAAAGAAAAGUUGGGUAAAUAUACUACCUUUUCUUUGACAACUCAUGAAAGAAAGUUUGCCAAAGAUUUGAAAUACUUUCAUCUUCAUCUUCCAAACAGUUGGCCAUUUCAUUUAUAUAAACUUCCACCUAAUAAUGAUACAUGCAAAUCAAGAUGAUAAAAAUUCUGACACAUGAAAGCUAAGUAUAAAUGUCUUAUAGUCCAGCCAAACCUUCAUCUCAUUCAGUAUUAGAUGAGAAUGAACGAUCUCUUGAUCAUGCAUACAUAUGCUCUGUCCAUGGCUCUUAACAGAUUAGGAAAAUGAACUGCCAGAUCUCCAAGACCAACAGUGCAAUUUGAUCAAACUGUUUCAGAUGGUGCAUUUUCCACAACAGUGAAAAGAAGCUGGAGAUUUGCAUCACUAGGAAGUAAUAUACACACAUGUUUAGAACUUUUUACAAAAAUCUUAAAUAAUUGAUGACGCUCAAAUCACCCUCAAAACAAGUUAAUAGAGUAAGUGGUCGUCGUUAAUAAAAAUACCCAACUCUUAGUAACGUUCGAACACAAGAGGCUCGUAUUUCUUGACACACCACAAAUCAACUUUUCUUUCUCAAUUAAGCACAAAGGUAAUGGCUCCGGUAGGUACUAAAAAAUAGUCCACAUGCAAACUUUUUUCACAUAAGAAAUCCUCUCAUUCUCAUUACAUUUUUUAAAAACCAAGAAUCAUUUAAGUGACAACAACUCAAACUCAAGAGAUGACUCAACUCAUUAACACUUUCACAUGCUCACUUGACUCAAUUAGGAACUUUCAAAAUCACCACUUUUUCAGCUUACAUGCCCUCACAUGAAAGAAGUUUCCCAAAACCGCACACACAUAUAAACAAGACAUGGGACAACAAAGUUGCAACACUCACACUCACAAAGAAUCAUCUCAUGUACACAAAUGUCACACCAUAGGCUUGCCCAUAUUUUCAAUCAUUAUUGACUCAACUCCAUUUGGUUAGAAAUCUCGAAGGACUUUGUUAAGCUUGUAAUAUAGGCUUAGGAAAGGUUAGGAUAUCAUUUAGGUAUAAGUGACUACACCCUCCUUGAACACUACACAACAACUCAUCAUUUCCAACUUUCUUCACUUUUCAAACCCAUGCACAUUCCACAUUAUUUUUCAUUAUUCUUUUCUUAUUUCCACUCUAGAUUCCCCACAUAUAACCAUUUUCAACUUUUGGAGGAUUCAAGUCUCAUUUAUUCAUUUUCCUUCUUUCUUUUUCAAUGCUUUUUCUUUAUUUAAGACUUCCCAUCCAACCCUCACUUUUCAAACCCAUGCACAUUCCACACUAUUUUUCAUUAUUCUUUUCUUACUUCCACUCUAGAUCCCCCCCCCCAAUACAACCAUUUUCAACUUUUGGAGGAUUCAAGUCUCAUUUAUUCAUUUUCUUUCUUUUUUUUUCAAAGCUUUUUCUUUCUUUAAGACCUUCCAUCCAACCCUCAAUUUCUCUCUUCUUCUUUUUUUCAUUUUUUUUUCUAUCAAGCCCUCAUGUUGUAAGCAUCCCUUCAAUGAAUUUCCCAUAACACCACCAACUUAGGCUAAAAGCCUCAACUUUCACAACCUCAAGUUCAAGGAGGGAAGAGUUCAAAAGAGGGUUACUUUUUCAAAAAGGAUAAGGCUUGUAAUAUGGUUGCCAAUAAAAAGGAUUAGGCUCAAAGGGGAUAACUAAGGAUAUAUUUAGUGCAAAGGUGGGAUUUUUAGGCCAAGUGGAUUUCAAGAACAUCAAAGAAAGCCAAAGAUCAUUUCUCCAACCAAACUCAAUCAAGACCAACAUUUCAAGACCAACCGGGCAAGUUCUAGGUGACAAUAGCGAACACAAGGCAUAAUUCAAUAACUCACCACACAUGGCCUGCAAAUCAAUCAAGAUGGUUCAAAAUCAAUCUUCCUUUUCAAAAUACAAGUAGCAUUGAAC